ensembl:lncRNA
GUACACACAGACACACUAUCAUUUGGUUCUAAACAAAGACACACUCACAAUUUGAUGUACACAAAGACAUAUUAAUAUUUAGAUGUACACACAGACACACUAACAAUUAGAUGUACACACAGACACACUAACAAUUGGAUCCACACACAGACGCACUAACAAUUAGAUGUACACACAGACACACUAACGUUUGGUUCUAAACAAAGACACACACUAAUAUUUAGAUGUACACAAAGACACAAUAACAAUUAGAUCUACACACAGACACACUAACAAUUAGAUGUACACACGGACACACUAACAAUUAGAUGUACACACAGACACAUCCUGAUGAUCCUCCUCACGUCUCUUCUCCUUGUCUGCAGACCAACAGGACGCCAUCAGGACGUCAUCGGGACGCCAUCAGGAUUCCAUCAGGACGCCUUAAGGACGCCGCGUCAACCCCUCAGGAGCAAAUCAAGAUCUACUCAUGACACACACACACACACACACACACACACACACAGAUGUACUCAGAGACACACUAACAAUUAGAUGUACACACGGACACACUAACAAUUAGAUGUACACACAGACACACUAACAAUUAGAUGUACACACAGACACAUCCUGAUGAUCCUCCUCACGUCUCUUCUCCUUGUCUGCAGACCAACAGGACGCCAUCAGGACGUCAUCGGGACACCAUCAGGAUUCCAUCAGGACGCCUUAAGGACGCCGCGUCAACCCCUCAGGAGCAAAUCAAGAUCUACUCAUGACACACACACACACCCACACACACACACACACACAGAUGUACUCAGAGACACACUAACAUUUAGACACGCUGGCAAAUUUAGACACACACAGACACACUAUUAUUUGGUUCUAAACAAAGACACACACUAAUAUUUAGAUGUACACAAAGACACACACUAACAAUUACAUGUACACACAGACACACUAUCAUUUGGUUCUAAACAAUGACACACACUAACAUUUAGAUGUACACAAAGACACACACUAAUAUUUAGAUGUACACAAAGACAUAUUAAUAUUUAGAUGUACACACAGACACACUAACAUUUGGUUCUAACCAAAGACACACUAAUAUUUAGAUGUUCACAAAGACAUAUUAAUAUUUAGAUGUACACACAGACACACUAACAUUUAGAUGUACACACAGACACACUAACAACAUUAACAUGUUAAUAACUUUUCUUCUUUUCUCUCUUCUCAGGAACUGCUUCAGAUAUUUUCCCAAUGAUUGUAUUAUUAUUAUUGUUAAAUAUGUCGUCUGUUUAUUAUUUUAACAAUGAAAAUAAAUUUUAAUAAAAAUAAAACCAAAUGAAUCCGUCUUGUUUUCUUCAGACCAAAGAGAAUCACAUGUUCUUUAUUACUCGUUGACUUGAAUGAAGUGAAACAACAAUGAUCUUGAGUUAAUGAGCGUUUGUGUAUUUAAUGACACACAAAGUUUUCAGUCGACAUUUUAAGCCUGAUUUCAAUUGUUGACUCACUUGUUCCUUGUUCCUUGCUCCUGUAAUCAGACAUCAGGCGGAAGAAGAAGAGAAUAUUUAGUCAAUGAACAUGUUUCCGAUAUGGAACAUUUUGAUUAAAACAUGAAUGCUUCUAAAAAAUGAAGUCAGGCAACUCAAAGCACAAACAAGUUCAAUU